UACGGGGGGGGCAAGCGUUGCUCGGAAUCACUGGGCUUAAAGGGCGCGUAGGCGGACUUGAUAGUCCGUGGUGAAAGCCCCCGGCUUAACCGGGGAAGUGCCGUGGAUACUGCAAGCCUGGAGGAGGGUAGGGGCAUCUGGAACGCUGGGUGGAGCGGUGAAAUGCGUUGAUAUCCAGCGGAACUCCGGUGGCGAAGGCGAGGUGCUGGACCCUUUCUGACGCUGAUGCGCGAAAGCCAGGGGAGCAAACGGG
rnacentral:rRNA from 1 species